AAUAGAUACCCGGGUAGUCCACGCCGUAAACGAUGAGUGCUAAGUGUUAGGGGGUUUCCGCCCCUUAGUGCUGCAGCUAACGCAUUAAGCACUCCGCCUGGGGAGUACGGUCGCAAGACUGAAACUCAAAGGAAUUGACGGGGGCCCGCACAAGCGGUGGAGCAUGUGGUUUAAUUCGAAGCAACGCGAAGAACCUUACCAGGUCUUGACAUCCUCUGACAAUCCUAGAGAUAGGACGUCCCCUUCGGGGGCAGAGUGACAGGUGGUGCAUGGUUGUCGUCAGCUCGUGUCGUGAGAUGUUGGGUUAAGUCCCGCAACGAGCGCAACCCUUGAUCUUAGUUGCCAGCAUUCAGUUGGGCACUCUAAGGUGACUGCCGGUGACAAACCGGAGAAAGGUGGGGAUGACGUCAAAUCAUCAUGCCCCUUAUGACCUGGGCUACACACGUGCUACAAUGGACAGAACAAAGGGCAGCGAAACCGCGAGGUUAAGCCAAUCCCACAAAUCUGUUCUCAGUUCGGAUCGCAGUCUG
rnacentral:rRNA from 1 species